ACGAUGUUUUCUACGGACUUCGCAUUUCCGGAAAUGGCUGAGUGUUAUAUUUGUGUAACUUAAUUACUUAGAUGUGUUAGUUUGCUAUGAGUGGUUGGCGAUAGGCUGAAGAGCAUGAAGAAAAAGGGAUAUGAUCAUUAGUGUUACAGAGUUUGAGACUCCGGGGAUUAAAAACCUCAGGCUUGAUCCGGUUUUAAAUACAGGAUCUAUUGUUUUGACACCCAUAAAGCCAAGUCUCAGGUGUGUCCUGCUGGAAAGGUACAGAGAUGGGUUUUAAAUGGGAAAGCCACAAGAGGACCUUCAAGAUCUAUGCAAGCAAGCAGAAAGUUGGCCUGCUCUGCCGAGUUAAGUAGUCCAGGCAACCCAACAGAAUCCUUGGGUGUCGGUGUAAGCGAGUAUCCGAAGCCAAAAAGCAAAAGCAACCACAAAAACAAAACCAGGAGUUGGUCAUAUCCUUAUGAUAACAAAGCAGAGAGCUGUACAUUUCGGGGUUUUCCUAGAGCAUCCCAGGCAGAAUCGUCUUAGAGGAAGGAUCCCGUCCCUAUAUGAUUUGUAAAGCAAAGAGUCACCUCAUGAAUGUUUAUUCUUAAAACAAAACUACUUAAAAUCCACAACAGAGGACUCGCUGUGCUGUCACCUUCCCUUGGGACAACCCACUUCAAUCUGUUUGGCCCGCUUGCUUUGCUUUGCUAAAUAAACUGCUUCCACGCUG